UCACAACCAUCUUCUCUCUUAAACUGCAAAAAUCCCCUUUCUCUUCUCUGAAUAUAAAUUUUCUAAUUUUUUUCUUGAAUUUUCCACCUUUUUCUUUCUGGGAAAAAUAUAAAUCUGUUUCUAUUAAAUUUGAAGAUGAAUUCAUUUAGAUUAAUGAGCCUCUCAUCUAUUAUUGGUUUUUUGUUGUUGGCUUUGGUUGAGUUCAGUUUUGGCCAAGGCAUGGCUCCUUCUUCAGCUCCACCUCCUUCCAAUGACGGCACAGUGAUUGAUCAAGGGAUUGCUUAUAUUCUUCUACUUGUUGCACUUGCGAUUACAUACUUGGUCCAUUAGUACAAUUAUUGUAUUGUUUUUUUCUAUUUGGCUACUCGAUUUUUUUUCAUUCAUCAUUUGAAUUCUUUAUGUGAUUAUCUCCUGCUAUUCAUAAUGGAGAAAUUUCAAAGUUUUGUGAAAUAAGGAAAGAAUACUUAUUUGUGAUACAAAAGUUCAUUUUUCUAAGUUAUUCCGAAUUAUUGUAGCUAA